rnacentral:rRNA from 1 species
UUGACCUCGGAUCAGGUAGGAAUACCCGCUGAACUUAAGCAUAUCAAUAAGCGGAGGAAAAGAAACCAACAGGGAUUGCCCCAGUAACGGCGAGUGAAGCGGCAACAGCUCAAAUUUGAAAUCUGGCUUCGGCCCGAGUUGUGAAUUUGUAGAGGAUGCUUCUGGCGCGGUGCCUUCCGAGUUCCCUGGAACGGGACGCCAUAGAGGGUGAGAGCCCCGUAUGGAUGGAUACCUAGCCUGUGUGAAGCUCCUUCGACGAGUCGAGUAGUUUGGGAAUGCUGCUCAAAAUGGGAGGUAUAUCUCUUCUAAAGCUAAAUACCGGCCAGAGACCGAUAGCGCACAAGUAGAGUGAUCGAAAGAUGAAAAGCACCUUGAAAAGGGGGUUAAACAGCACGUGAAAUUGUUGAAAGGGAAGCGCCCAUGACCAGACUUGUGCCCGGCGGAUCACCCAGCGUUCUCGCUGGGGCACUCCGCCGGGUCCAGGCCAGCAUCGGUUUUCGCCGGGGGAUAAAGGCUCUGGGAACGUAGCUCCUCCGGGAGUGUUAUAGCCCUCUGCGUAAUACCCUGGCGGGGACCGAGGUACGCGCUCCGCAAGGAUGCUGGCGUAAUGGUCAUCAGCGACCCGUCUUGAAACACGGA